rnacentral:lncRNA from 1 species
AGAGAGGAAAAGAAUAUCCUUGCUGUGCCAAGAAAGAAAAGACCAUGGAUCUACUAGUUGCAGAUUUCAGCAGUAAUGCCAAGGGGGCAAGAAGUGACCAGCAGAACAAUUAGGCCAUGGCAACAGAAGCCAACUACAACCCAUGUUCCAAUCUAUGACCUCCCUCUCCUGCUGGUACAAGGAUAUGUAUUCCUUAGAGCAAAGGAUGCAAUGUCAAGCAAGUUGUGAUACCUCAACUAUCUACAAUUUAACACCAAGGAAAGAACACUGUUUGGAGAAAUGAGAAAGAUUAUCAUCAGUGUCUUUCAGAAGUCAUCAAAAGAAGAAAAGGAGAAAAGAGAGGAGAAAGCAGAAAGAUCUGGAGUCUGGGAAGUUCAAGAGCAUGGCACCAACAUCUGGCAAGGGCUUUCAUUCUGCAUCAUCUCAUGGAGGAAAAUAAAAAGAUUUCAGGUAAAUCCAGAUUUGGAGCUUAAAUGACUCAAAUGCUUUGCCUACAUUGAUCCUACAUUCAGGCUGCUUACAUAUCUCUUGGCUUCUCUGAGAACCAGAUUGUCACCACUUAAAGGUCUGUUAGAAUUUUCACAAAACCUUCUCAACUGAUUUCUUCUUCAUGGGAAAGUAAAAGCAAUGAAAAUGCCUUCAAGUUAACUAGGUCUUAUUAGGUACAAAUUGUUGCAAGGAAAGUGAGGUGGGAUGGAAGUAGAAGGUUGUUCUGAAAUCAUCUUACAAAUGUCAGCAUUCAAGACCUGAGUAAUCCAAGAUAGCAAGAGCAGAUCAAUGAUCUCUAUACAGAAUGCUCUACAAAGGACUUGGAAGGAACGGUAAACCCACAGGGCUUUCAACCCUCUUCCUAUGAACAAUGGGGCUCAUAGGGUUUGCAAGAUACAGGAAGAAGCUCCUGGAGAUGCCAGACAAAGAAGGAAAGGUGAUCCAUCAACCUCCACCUGCUUUACAAACAGACAGCCCCUGCUUAGCAGCCCCUUGUGGAUGAGGCUAAGCUGAGUGAAUGGAGUCGAGUGGAGAUGUUCCCACCUUGCGGAGCUUCCUAGAGUGGCUGCUGCUUCCUUCGAUGUCACAAAUUGGGCAAAUCCUCCAACAAUAAGGCACCCCAGACUGUGCUCCAGCUUUCAGAGGGAGCCUUUCACGCCAGCUUUCAGCCGUGGGCUGUAAUGGUGCCACAUGCGUCAAUGGGGCUAGGAUCUGUCCCCUAAGCACUGCGGUCAGAGGCCCAGUGAGUGAUGUGGUCUAGGGCCGUGGAUGCUCACUCACAUUCUGCUUUGGUCUUGACCACAGCAUCAGAAAUGAUUUGAUGCAUUGGGUUUGAACAUGUUUUGAGUUACUCUGUAUUGCAUACACAUGUAAAACAAAUCUGGGAACCCACAA